GUAUCCGAUGGACAGCAGGUUUAAGAUUCCUGCACCCCUUGUUAUCAGAACUGCGGGGACACGGGAAGGGAAGCAGAGCCGGGAAUGGAAAGCCCGGUGCAAGCGAAGGAGUCGCAGGGUUGGAAAAUCCGCCCUGCAUGAGACGAAGGCGUGAUGCGGAGCGAAAUGAAGUAGUGAAGCUGCGGCCCCUUCCUGUCGAGAAAAGCCGCUAUCGUGUAGCAAGGGCCCGUACCGUAAACCGACACAGGUGGAUGAGGAGAGGAUCCUAAGGCCGGCGGGAGAAGUGUUGUUAAGGAACUCGGCAAAAUGACUCCGUAACUUCGGGAGAAGGAGUGCUGCGCAAGCAGCCGCAGAGAAAUGACCCAAGCAACUGUUUAGCAAAAACACAGGUCUAUGCGAAACCGGAAGGUGAGGUAUAUGGGCUGACGCCAGCCCGGUGCUGGAAGGUUAAGGGGAGAGCUUAGCGCAAGCGAAGGUUUGAACUUAAGCCCCAGUAAACGGCGGCCGUAACGAUAACGGUCCUAAGGUAGCGAAAUUCCUUGUCGGGUAAGUUCCGACCCGCACGAAAGGCGUAAUGAUUUGGGCACUGUCUCAACAACACACCCGGUGAAAUUGAAAUACCAGUGAAGAUGCUGGUUACCCGCGCCAGGACGGAAAGACCCCAUGGAGCUUUACUCCAGCCUGAUACUGGGAUUCGGUAUUGCAUGUACAGGAUAGGUGGGAGGCUAAGAACUCAUGGCGCCAGCCGUGAGGGAGCCGGUGUUGGGAUACCACCCCUGCAGUACUGGGUUUCUAACCUGCGCCCGUGACCCGGGCGGGGGACAAUGUCAGGCGGGGAGUUUGACUGGGGCGGUCGCCUCCGAAAGGGUAUCGGAGGCGCUCAAAGGUCUCCUCAGGAUGGUUGGAAACCAUCCAGAGAGUGCAAAGGCAGAAGGAGGCUUGACUGCGACACCGACGGGUGGAGCAGGUACGAAAGUAGGACUUAGUGAUCCGGUGGCAUAAAGCGGGAUUGCCAUCGCUCAACGGAUAAAAGCUACCCUGGGAUAACAGGCUUAUCACUCCCAAGAGUUCACAUCGACGGAGUGGUUUGGCACCUCGAUGUCGGCUCAUCGCAUCCUGGAGCUGGAGCAGGUUCCAAGGGUUGGGCUGUUCGCCCAUUAAAGCGGUACGCGAGCUGGGUUCAGAACGUCGUGAGACAGUUCGGUCCCUAUCCGGCGCGGGCGCAGGAUAUCUGAGAGGAGCUGUCCUUAGUACGAGAGGACCGGGAUGGACCGUCCGCUGGUGGACCGGUUGUCAUGCCAAUGGCACGGCCGGGUAGCCAAGACGGGAAGGGAUAAACGCUGAAGGCAUCUAAGCGUGAAGCCCCCCUCAAGAUGAGAUAUCCAUACUCGAAAGAGUGAGAGACCCCUUAGAGACGAUGAGGUAGAUAGGGCAGGGAUGGAAGCACAGCGAUGUGUGGAGUUGACUGUUACUAAUCGGUCGAUAGCUCG
rnacentral:rRNA from 1 species